rnacentral:sRNA from 1 species
AGCUAAACCGGAUUGGAGGGGAAAGCCCGCAGGUGAGGCACGAGCCGAGGACUUGUACCGUAAAGCCGGGCUGACU